rnacentral:rRNA from 1 species
UACGUAGGGUGCAAGCGUUAAUCGGAAUUACUGGGCGUAAAGCGUGCGUAGGUGGUUCGUUAAGUCUGAUGUGAAAGCCCUGGGCUCAACCUGGGAAUUGCAUUGGAUACUGGCGGGCUAGAGUACGGUAGAGGGUGGCGGAAUUCCUGGUGUAGCAGUGAAAUGCGUAGAUAUCAGGAGGAACAUCCGUGGCGAAGGCGGCCACCUGGACCAGUACUGACACUGAGGCACGAAAGCGUGGGGAGCAAACAGG